UACGAGGGGGGCGAGCGUUGUUCGGAAUUAUUGGGCGUAAAGGGUGCGUAGGCGGUUUGGUAAGUCUGAUGUGAAAUCUAUGGGCUCAACUCAUAGUCUGCAUCGGAAACUGCCGGGCUUGAGUGUGGGAGAGGUGAGUGGAAUUCCUGGUGUAGCGGUGAAAUGCGUAGAUAUCAGGAGGAACACCUGUGGCGAAAGCGGCUCACUGGACCACAACUGACGCUGAGGCGCGAAAGCUAGGGGAGCAAACAGG
rnacentral:rRNA from 1 species